rnacentral:rRNA from 1 species
GACGAACGCUGGCGGCGUGCCUAAUACAUGCAAGUCGAGCGGAGCUUUCGCGGCGGAAGCCUUCGGGUGGAAGCUGCGAAAGCUUAGCGGCGGACGGGUGAGUAACACGUGGGCAACCUGCCCGAAAGACCGGGAUAACAUCCGGAAACGGAUGCUAAUACCGGAUAAGCGGACCUUUCGCAUGAAGGGUUCGGGAAAGACGGGGCAACCUGUCACUUUCGGAUGGGCCCGCGGCGCAUUAGCUGGUUGGCGGGGUAACGGCCCACCAAGGCGACGAUGCGUAGCCGACCUGAGAGGGUGAACGGCCACACUGGGACUGAGACACGGCCCAGACUCCUACGGGAGGCAGCAGUAGGGAAUCUUCCGCAAUGGACGAAAGUCUGACGGAGCAACGCCGCGUGAGUGAGGAAGGUCUUCGGAUCGUAAAGCUCUGUUGCCAGGGAAGAAUCCCCUGGGGAGUCACUGCCCCGGGGUUGACGGUACCUGAGAAGAAAGCCCCGGCUAACUACGUG